rnacentral:lncRNA from 1 species
CUCAUUCUCAGUGAACAUGUCUUAUGCACCUUUUCUAUGUCGCUUUUUUUGCAAGAAUCACACCCCUUAAUUUUCUAUUCCAGGAAAUGAAACAUCUGAACCCCCAUCAUGCGUGCAUCUUUGCAUGUUCAAUGGAGGCUGUGAUAUGGGACUGCAGAGGGUCUUUCCAGCAGGGAUUUCUUCAGUAUAGGCUUAAGGCGAAAGAAUUUGUGGGGGUCACACUCAGCUCGUGGAUGCAGCGGAGCAAGCAGGCUGUAACCUCUCCGAGGCAGGUUUUCUGUGUGUUUUCAUGAAGCACUUUUGGAGGAAAGUCGUGCAGGAGGGAAGAGUGUUCAGGAGCAAGUGAUAUCUCCAGGAAGUGAAAUUAAUCUAUUCACUAUCACCCAGAGCCUGACAAUUGAUUAUGGCAAAUGUAUCAGCCCAGAGGUAAACACAAAGGAGUUUAUUAAUGUGGGUGGAAUGAUUGGCAUGAAAUAGAAAUAGUAUUUAGCAUUUGUAAAGCAUUAUUAUUCUGAUUAAACGAAACAAUUUU